rnacentral:misc_RNA from 1 species
GUUUCCGUAGGUGAACCUGCGGAAGGAUCAUUAACCGGUACCAAACAGUGUGUGAUGCGGCCGCCGAGGUGAAUAGCCUCUGGUUGGUAUGGGGUUCGCCCCUUCACGUUCACGCGUCUGCCAUCCUUACUUUACGAGCACCUUCUGUUCUCCCUCGGCAAGGGCCUCGCCCUGCCGUUGGAACUACAAAACUCUUUUUUGCAUCUAGCAUUACCUGUUCCGACAAAAACAAUCGUUUACAACUUUCAACAAUGGAUCUCUUGGCUCUGGCAUCGAUGAAGAACGCAGCGAAAUGCGAUAAGUAGUGUGAAUUGCAGAAUUCAGUGAAUCAUCGAAUCUUUGAACGCACAUUGCGCCCCUCGGUAUUCCGUGGGGCAUGCCUGUUCGAGCGUCAUCUACACCCUCAAGCUCUGCUUGGUGUUGGGCGUCUGUCCCGCCUCCGCGCGUGGACUCGCCCCAAAUACAUUGGCAGCGGUCUUUGCCUCCUCUCGCGCAGCACAUUGCGCUUCUCGAGGUGUCGCGGACACGCGUCCAAUAAGCAACAUUUACCGUCUUUGACCUCGGAUCAGGUAGGGAUACCCGCUGAACUUAAGCAUAUCAAUAA